rnacentral:rRNA from 1 species
CCUACGGGAGGCAGCAGUGGGGAAUAUUUCACAAUGGGGGAAACCCUGAUGCAGCGACGCCGCGUGAGUGAGGAAGUAAUUCGUUAUGUAAAGCUCUAUCAGCAGGGAGGAAAAUGACGGUACCUGAGUAAGAAGCCCCGGCUAACUAAGUGCCAGCAGCCGCGUUAAUACGUAGGGGGCAAGCGUUAUCCGGAUUUACUGGGUGUAAAGGGCGCGUAGACGGCAGUGCAAGUCUGGAGUGAAAGGCGGGGGCUCAACCCCCGGACGGCUCUGGAAACUGUACGGCUGGAGUGCAGGAGAGGUAAGUGGAAUUCCUAGUGUAGCGGUGAAAUGCGUAGAUAUUAGGAGGAACACCAGUGGCGAAGGCGGCUUACUGGACUGUAACUGACGUUGAGGCUCGAAAGCGUGGGGAGCAAACAGGAUUAGAUACCCCUGUAGUC